rnacentral:rRNA from 1 species
AUGCUAGUCAGCGCUUUCUAUCUAAUAUGAAAGUGCGGCAUACAGCUCAGUAACACGUGGCUAACCUGCCCUUGGGACGGAGACACCCCCGGGAAACUGGGGUUAAUUUCCGAUAGGUGAAAAAUUCUGGAAUGAAUUUUCGCUCAAAAGAGGUUUAUGUUAUGCUCAUAUUCUUCGCCCAGGGAUGGGGCCGCGACCGAUCAGGUUGUUGGUGAGGUAAUGGCUCACCAAGCCUUUUACCGGUACGGGCCGUGAGAGCGGGAGCCCGGAGAUGGGCACUGAGACAAGGGCCCAGGCCCUACGGGGCGCAGCAGUCGCGAAAACUUUGCAAUACACGAAAGUGUGACAAGGCUAUCCCGAGUGCCAUCCGCUGAGGAAGGCUUUUACCCAGUAUAAAUAGCUGGGAGAAUAAGGAGAGGGCAAGUCUGGUGUCAGCCGCCGCGGUAAUACCAGCUCUCCGAGUAGUGUGGAUGUUUAUUGGGCCUAAAGCAUCCGUAGCUUGCUAGGCAAGUCCCCUGUUAAAUCCACCGAUUCAAUCGAUGGUUUGCGGGGGAUACUGUUUGGCUAGGGGACGGGAGAGGUCGACGGUAUUUCCGGGGUAGGGGUGAAAUCCUAUAAUCCCGGGAGGACCACCAGUGGCGAAGGCUGUCGACUAGAACGCGCCCGACGGUGAGGGAUGAAAGCUGGGGGAGCGAACCGGAUUAGAUACCCGGGUAGUCCCAGCUGUAAACGAUGCAAACUGGGUUUUUGGGCGGCCACGAGCCGCCCUAGUGCCGCAGGAAGCUGUUAAGCCUGCCGCCUGGGGAGUACGGCCGCAAGGCUGAAACUUAAAGGAAUUGGCGGGGGAGCACCACAAGGGGUGAAGCUUGCGGUUUAAUUGGAUUCAACGCCGGAA